UUGCCUGUUUACUCCCAAACUGUGAGCCAGGUCUCUGCGUAUUUUUCUCCCAUCACCGCAACAAUCAUUGCCACUGCCUGGUGCAAACCCUGUGCGUUGUUCUGGUGCGGAAAACCUUCCAGUGCACAAGGCAGCGGCCUGAUGGCGUCCGCUCGGCGCGGCCGGGCCCUUCUCUCCACCUCCCUCUUCUCUCCUCCUCCCUCCCUGCGGAGUGUUGGUGCCAGGCCCAACCUGAUACUCCAGCUCCUCGCCCGGGCACCCUAAAUAGCAGCUGGCCUGGCAGGCGGCAUAGAGGGAGCGGCGGCACCGGCUUUGGAGCAGGUAUCAUCACUGAGCAAUGGUCUCCGGUCUCAGGAAGCAGGCCCUUCCCAGUCUCUGGAUGUCAAGGAAUCAGCUUUGGAAGCCAAGAUUGUAGGGAUGGAUGCCAAAGACCCGGAUGCAGAUGGCAAAGGUGCAGAGUUGGAUUUGAUAUCAGAUAACGGGAACAUUAACCAGGAUCCCAAGGCUGUUGUGCUGGAUGCAAAGGAUACACAUUUGGAUGGCAAAAUGACAACCAUAAAAGCCAUUGCUACAGUGUUAGGCUGUAAGACUGCAAAUUCUGAGGACAGAGAGUUUGAUACAACUAAGAAGACUGCUGGGUCAGAGGUCACAGCUACAGAUCACAGGCAAGCAAGGCUAGAGGUCAAGGAUAUGAUGCCUGAAUUCAGGCAUGAGGACCAGGAUGCCCACACAACCAUGCUGGAUACUAAAGAUGCAGAUCAGCAAAGCAAAAUGGUAACACUUCAUGCCAAGGUGGAGGGCACCAAACUAGAACAGAGCAACAAGGAAGGCGACAGUGACAUUAUUUCUCUUGACUGUGAAAUUGUUGGGUUUGGUCCUGAUAUUGAGUUCCUGGGCCCAGAUGCUGAGAUCUACAUGCAGUUCAUGCGGAGCCACCGCUGUUACGAUGCCAUUCCCACCAGCUCCAAACUGGUAGUGUUUGAUACCACCCUACAGAUUAAGAAGGCCUUCCUUGCCAUGGUGGCCAAUGGGGUCCGAGCUGCCCCUCUCUGGGACAGCAAGCAGCAGUGCUUUGUGGGUAUGCUGACAAUCACUGACUUCAUUAACAUCCUUCAUCGCUACUAUCGAUCUCCUCUGGUUCAGAUAUACGAGAUUGAGGAACACAAAAUUGAAACGUGGAGAGAGGUAUAUCUUCAAGGUUCCUUCAAACCCUUGGUUUGUAUCUCCCCAAAUGAUAGCCUCUUUGAUGCUGUUUAUUCCUUGAUAAAGAACAAGAUCCACCGGCUGCCUGUUAUUGAGCCCAUCUCAGGAAAUGUCCUCCACAUCCUGACUCACAAGCGUAUUCUCAAGUUCUUGCAUAUUUUUGGAGCCUUGAUUCCAAAGCCAAGGUUCUUACAGAAAACCAUUCAGGAGCUGGGCAUUGGCACUUUCCGUGAUGUUGCCAUGGUGCAGGAGUCAGCUCCUGUCUACAGUGCCCUGGAGAUCUUUGUGGACCGCAGGGUCUCAGCGUUGCCUGUCAUUAAUGAAACAGGGAGUGUAGUUGGCCUGUACUCCCGGUUUGAUGUGAUUCACUUGGCUGCCCAGAAGUCCUACAACAACCUGGACAUCAGUGUGGGAGAAGCCCUGAAGCAGCGCUCAGUCUGCCUCGAGGGGGUACUCACGUGCCAUCCUUAUGAGACGAUGGAAGUUAUCAUCGAUCGCAUCGCCAAAGAGCAGGUCCAUCGCCUGGUUCUAGUGGAUGAGAAGAACGCCCCUCGGGGGAUUGUGUCCCUCUCUGACAUUCUCCAGGCCCUGGUGCUCACGCCUGCAGGUAUAGAUGCCCUAAACUCUUAAGCUGCUCGACGCUCCAUCCUUCCUUCAUUAGUACCCUCCAUUUCCUCCGCUUCUCUCCAGCUCAGGCAUUGAUCGCCAUUCCCUCUGAGGCAGAUGUGGAAGACCACUUGCUAUCUAGCACCUUGAGUUACUACUGCUGCAGCUAUGACAAGUGGGAACAAGGGACCUCUAGCUUCUGGAUUGGGAGAUAUGUCCUCCUACCAGGCCAAGACGGUGCUGUACAUUUGCUUUGCCUUUUUCCUUCCCCUGAUGCAGAAAGGGGAAGCAAUUCUGAGGAAGGAUGUGAACAUCCAAACUGUAGAUAUUACUCGGUCCCUAAACCUUCCACGAUGUUUUCAAGCAGCCUUUCCACAGCUGAUGAGAAAAGCAGGCCCCUGUUGAAUGUUGAGCAGCAGCUGCUCCUCUCCUCCCCAAAGUCCUACAACCGUGUGUGUGCAUGCAACAAUCCAAGAUGCUGCAAGGCAGCCCAAAACAUUUUCUGCACCUGCUUGCUGAUUGCUUAAUGGGAACUCAAGGGCUCUUUCAACUCAUAACAGGGGAAGUAGAAAAAGAGUCAAAAGGCUGUGCAUUAGAAGUGUAUUAAUUGUAAUUUGAAACUGCUUGAACAGGGAUCAGAAUUGCCCUCUUAGGCCAAGUUGCAUUGUAGAAAGAGGCAGAUCCUCCCGCUGCUUCCAUGUCACGACUGAACACUUUUUGUAGCUAAUGCCUUACUUUCUGUUAUACUUGAGCUACCAACAUGCUGGGAAGCUGCACUAGGCUAAGCUAUAAAAGAUUAUUCUGAGCCUAGUUGAGAGGCAGAGGGCAUGAAAUUUAUAAAAUACGCUCUUUCAAACCAUCUCUUUUUCCACUUGCACCUGAAUUCAAAGUACUUCACACUUUGCCUCCUCUCUUGUGAUGCAAGAAGAGAAUGGUAAGUCAUACAUAGAUCAAUCCCUCAUCUUUGUGCUGUUGAUCUGGCUCAACAGGAAAGGGUACAACCAAGGAGUAAAGCUGAAGCUUUAUUCUUGUGUUCCUGUUGCAAAUUGGUGAAAAGGUUGCUGCCAGACUACUAAAGGCAGAAAGCAUAGUUCCAGCUGACUUGCUGCAAGAGUUGCUGUUCAGGGAAGGUUUAUGAUUUCUUCUGCUUGGUGCUUUUUUAUUCUUUGAGAGGUAACAUUUGCUUUAAAGCACAAACAGUAGUACACCAUACCAAAAGCCAGCCAAGGUACAGAGGCAUUGGGAUAUUAUAGGCAGGAGAAUGCUGGCUAAUAGGGUUAGAGUCUCCUUUUGUUUUAAAGUCCCUCUAGUAGCCCAACAGGGCAUACAACUCUUGAGACUGAACUCUCCAAAAUCAUGGUCAAUUUGGGGUCAAUACUGGGUUUUAACAGAAAAGUAACAAGGCUGUAGGAAGAGGGGAAGACAGAAGGAGCCCAGCUCAAUGUGUAAUGAAUGUAGCAGCUGACCCCCCCCCCCCCCCAGAAUUUAUGUACUUGACUGGGAAAGAAGGACGAGAAUCACAUUUUGUACAAAUUAGCUAAUGCCUGACUUUUGUGGUGGGGAAAAUAGCAAUGUAUCAACAAUAAAAAUGUUAAAAUCCAA